AGGCCUUUGUUCCCUGUAUCUGCUGUGCUCAGGUCAGGUGGACCCUGCGGUGUGGCUGAAAUAUUUCAAACAGUCACUCACAAAUGUGUCAUUUGACCUGCUGUUCUUCCAAAGAGGUAUGAAAAAUGUGUUUCUUGCUGAGAUAACUUGAAAUCAAAUAAACAUAAUCUCUUUAAUUCUUUCUAAAUAGUUCCAUAUUUUAAGUCUAAGCACAAUAGAGCACAAAGCUUCUAGCUUUAAAAAAAAAAGUUUAUUUUUUUACAUAUGUGUUGUUGGAUUUUUUUUCUUCCAGUUUGUGUUAGAUAUUAAGAGUAUAAUUUACAUUUCAAACCAAGUGAAUAUAUUUCCUUCUGUUUGGAGACACAUACACAAAAAAUGGCAACAUUUUUACUUGGUUAAAGGUAUAUGUGUGCUUUCACAGGAGUGCCAUCUUUAAGCAAAAACAGACAUUCUUUUUUAUAUUAACCAUCACUUGAUAAACCAGAGGAAAGUCUAAACCAAGGCUCGUAGAGAAAUGGAAUGAUAUUUCCUUUUGCAAAAUUGGUUCUGGUCCAUUGUUUUUAUUUAUAUGCAAUAAUGGCACUCACUCAAGUUUGUAAUAACGCUGUCAUGGCUGAAGGGAGUUUGUUUUAGGUAUUAUAUCUAUUAUCUGCUUCCUCUCUCUUCUUUAAACAGAAUCUCGGAGGAGAAAGUCUGUAUGUAGCAUGGAUUUAAGAAGAAACGAAAAAUCAAAAGCUUUCCUAAAACCUCACUGGAAUCAACUCAUUUGGCAUGAGUGGAUUUCCAUGGAAACUGGAAAAAGGGCUGAGUUUGGGCUGAUGCAGCAUGACCAAAGAGCUAGAGGCAGAAGAGAACAUGGUGACAAGAUUUCCCACUCUGGAAUAUUAGGAAGAGGUUUGGACUUCCAUAGACCAUGGAAUUAGGUGUUUAUCCAAGUUAGAAUAAGUCUCCAGGGAGCAAGGAGCUUCCCAGAUCACAUCUAGGCUGCAAAUGAAUGCUUUGUUUCUUUCAUAUAUUUUAAUUUCUAAUAAAUUAACUUUGAAAUGGAGUGCGAAAGUGUAAGUUUUACUUGCCCUAUUUUAAAAUCAUAUCCCUGAGUGUUUCUUCCAAAUUUAGAUAAUAGCAAUGAUAGCAAAUAUUUAUUGUGACUCACAAUGA
rnacentral:lncRNA from 1 species